GCCCCAGUGGCGCAAUGGAUAGCGCGUCGGACUUCUAAUUCGGAGGUUGCGGGUUCGAGUCCCGUCUGGGGUG